rnacentral:rRNA from 1 species
AUUUAACGCUGGCGACAUGCCUUACACAUGCAAGUCGAACGGCAGCACGGGUGCUUGCACCUGGUGGCGAGUGGCGAACGGGUGAGUAAUACAUCGGAACAUGUCCUGUAGUGGGGGAUAGCCCGGCGAAAGCCGGAUUAAUACCGCAUACGAUCUACGGAUGAAAGCGGGGGACCUUCGGGCCUCGCGCUAUAGGGUUGGCCGAUGGCUGAUUAGCUAGUUGGUGGGGUAAAGGCCUACCAAGGCGACGAUCAGUAGCUGGUCUGAGAGGACGACCAGUCACACUGGGACUGAGACACGGCCCAGACUCCUACGGGAGGCAGCAGUGGGGAAUUUUGGACAAUGGGCGAAAGCCUGAUCCAGCAAUGCCGCGUGUGUGAAGAAGGCCUUCGGGUUGUAAAGCACUUUUGUCCGGAAAGAAAUCCUUGGCCCUAAUACGGUCGGGGGAUGACGGUACCGGAAGAAUAAGCACCGGCUAACUACGUG